AGGACGUGAAGACACGCCGCUCUGUCCGCAGGUCAGUGUACAGUCUGUACCCAACGCUGCUGGUUCUGAUGUUCAGACCGAACGUCCCGCGCCCCGGGUGUGAGUGGGCGGGGAGUGUGUCACGAUCGGUCGUGAGUGGGACCGGUCGCUCUGAACGGCGCCGCUGAUACAGAGAGGAGCUUCAUUCAUAACGGGUCUGAGUCAUGAGGAGGAGAGGGAGGAGGAACAGAGGGCGAGAGAUGAUCCUGCUACUGAGUCACGCUGCCUGGAUCCUGAUACUGCCUUUAUAUCACGUCUACUGGACUGUCAGAGGAAACCCACACGGACACGAGGAGAACAUGCAAACUCCACACAGAAAGGACCCGCACCGCUCCACCUGGGAAUCGAACCCAGGACCUUCUUGCUGUAAAGUGCCACCGUGCCGCCCGGUUAUUUCUUCAUUGUUUUACCCCUGAUUUAUCCUGGUCAGGGUCGCAGUGGGUCUGAUUCGUUGGGCGAAAGGCAGGGGGCACCCCGGACAGGUCGCCAGUCCAUCACAGGGCACACACAUUAAUUUUUGUAGCUCCAAUUGACCUGACUGCACGUCUUUGGACUUGUGGGAGGAAACCCAUGUUGACACAGGGAGAACAUGCAAACUUCCCCUCAUGCAUUUCCUUUGCCGCUUGUACCUCCUUGAUGAUCUCUGAAUACGGCACCACCGGUGCGGGCGCCUCUAACAGACCCCCCCCUCCCUCCUGAGGUACAACCAACUGUGCCUGUUUGGGCAGGUCGAUAGCACCGCCUGGGAUUCGAACUCGAGAUGCACAAUCUCUAACCAAUCAGAAUUUAAUCAGGGGUGUCCGAACUCAAAAGACAGCCAAUCAGCAUUCAGCUUUCCAAUCCCCACCCACAUCUGUAAACUCCAAAUCAGGAGCGAACGGUGCAGAGUCGCUCAUGUUUGCAUUUGUGUUGAUCUUGUGGAUGAUUCGGUAGUACAUUCUGCACACACACACACACACACACAGUGCUCCGUCUGCACCAGAGUUCAGGUCGCCUAGCAACCGCUCCCCCUGAUAUUAGAAUUUUCAUGCAUCACUAUGUGGGGCGUUGAUGUCACAGUUGCCACAGCAACCAUACGGCUGACUUCUGGUGUCACUCUCUCUACACAGACGCAUUUACGUCAUCCUACUCUCCCGAGAAGAGGGCGUGUCUAAAUACUUAGAUCCCUUAAAAUGCUCCUACUGAGGCGCCUCAAUUCUGAGUGAUGAUCUGACUGAAUGACGGGGGAGCGUCCGACGCCUCCUCGGCGCUGAGGGCAAUCCCAGCAUUCAGUGCGGCACGACUUCUCUCACAAACAACUACAAACGUGGCGGACGGAUGUGAAUGCGGAGCAACCAACGGAGUUCUUUUUAAAUGUAAAUAAAUUCUCAUAGAUGUUUAA